rnacentral:rRNA from 1 species
AUUGAACGCUGGCGGCAGGCCUAACACAUGCAAGUCGAACGGUAACAGGAAGCAGCUUGCUGCUUUGCUGACGAGUGGCGGACGGGUGAGUAAUGUCUGGGAAACUGCCCGAUGGAGGGGGAUAACUACUGGAAACGGUAGCUAAUACCGCAUAACGUCGCAAGACCAAAGAGGGGGACCUUAGGGCCUCUUGCCAUCGGAUGUGCCCAGAUGGGAUUAGCUAGUAGGUGGGGGAACGGCUCACCUAGGCGACGAUCCCUAGCUGGUCUGAGAGGAUGACAAGCCACAUUGGAACUGAGACACGGUCCAGACUCCUACGGGAGGCAGCAGUGGGGAAUAUUGGACAAUGGGCGCAAACCUGAUGCAGCCAUGCCGCGUGUAUGAAGAAGGCCUUCGGGUUGUAAAGUACUUUCAGCGGGGAGGAAGGGAGUAAAGUUAAUACCUUUGCUCAUUGACGUUACCCGCAGAAGAAGCACCGGCUAACUCCGUG